GCACCUCAUAAAACGGGUGCCGGGAUUGCAACCCCCGCUGACUACACAAGCGCACAACCGCGCCAGCGGUUUUUUU
rnacentral:sRNA from 2 species